rfam:[Oscillatoria] sp. PCC 6506, WGS project CACA01000000 data, contig: Contig395
CUUUCAACUUAAAUAAAUCCCUAUUAGGGAUUGAAAC